AACGAACGCUGGCGGCAGGCUUAACACAUGCAAGUCGAACGCAUCCUUCGGGGUGAGUGGCAGACGGGUGAGUAACGCGCGGGAACGUGCCCUUCAGUUCGGGAUAACCCAGGGAAACUUGGGCUAAUACCGGAUACGUGCGAGAGCAGAAAGAUUUAUCGCUGAAGGAUCGGCCCGCGUCUGAUUAGCUAGUUGGUGAGGUAAUGGCUCACCAAGGCGACGAUCAGUAGCUGGUCUGAGAGGAUGAUCAGCCACACUGGGACUGAGACACGGCCCAGACUCCUACGGAAGGCAGCAGUGGGGAAUAUUGGACAAUGGGCGCAAGCCUGAUCCAGCCAUGCCGCGUGAGUGAUGAAGGCCUUAGGGUUGUAAAGCUCUUUCGGCGGGGACGAUAAUGACGGUACCCGCAGAAGAAGCCCCGGCUAACUUCGUGCCAGCCGCCGCAGUAA
rnacentral:rRNA from 1 species